rnacentral:rRNA from 1 species
AUUGAACGCUGGCGGCAUGCCUUACACAUGCAAGUCGAACGGCAGCACGGGAGCAAUCCUGGUGGCGAGUGGCGAACGGGUGAGUAAAGUAUCGGAACGUGCCCAGUCGUGGGGGAUAACGUAGCGAAAGUUACGCUAAUACCGCAUACGAUCUAUGGAUGAAAGCGGGGGAUCGCAAGACCUCGCGCGAUUGGAGCGGCCGAUAUCAGAUUAGGUAGUUGGUGGGGUAAAGGCUCACCAAGCCGACGAGCUGUAGCUGGUCUGGGAGGACGACCAGCCACACUGGGACUGAGGAACGGCCCAGACGCCUACGGGAGGCAGCAGUGGGGAAUUUUGGACAAUGGGCGCAAGCCUGAUUCAGUCAUGCCGCGUGCAGGAUGAAGGCCUUCGGGUUGUAAACUGCUUUUGUACGGAACGAAAAGGUUUGACUUAAUACGUUGGACUCAUGACGGUACCGUAAGAAUAAGCACCGGCUAACUACGUGCCAGCCGCCGCAGUAA